AUUGAACGCUGGCGGCAGGCCUAACACAUGCAAGUCGAACGGUAACAGGAAGAAGCUUGCUUCUUUGCUGACGAGUGGCGGACGGGUGAGUAAUGUCUGGGAAACUGCCUGAUGGAGGGGGAUAACUACUGGAAACGGUAGCUAAUACCGCAUAACGUCGCAAGACCAAAGAGGGGGACCUUCGGGCCUCUUGCCAUCGGAUGUGCCCAGAUGGGAUUAGCUAGUAGGUGGGGUAACGGCUCACCUAGGCGACGAUUCCUAGCUGGUCUGAGAGGAUGACCAGCCACACUGGAACUGAGACACGGUCCAGACUCCUACGGGAGACAGCAGUGGGGAAUAUUGCACAAUGGGCGCAAGCCUGAUGCAGCCAUGCCGCGUGUAUGAAGAAGGCCUUCGGGUUGUAAAGUACUUUCAGCGGGGAGGAAGGGAGUAAAGUUAAUACCUUUGCUCAUUGACGUUACCCGCAGAAGAAGCACCGGCUAACUCCGUG
rnacentral:rRNA from 1 species